rnacentral:rRNA from 1 species
GGCGAACGGGUGAGUAACACGUGGGUAAUCUGCCCUGCACUCUGGGAUAAGCCUGGGAAACUGGGUCUAAUACUGGAUAUGACUCCACGGCGCAUGUUGUGGGGUGGAAAGCCUUGUGCGGCUAGGGAUGGGCCCGCGGCCUAUCAGCUUGUUGGUGGGGUAAUGGCCUACCAAGGCGACGACGGGUAGCCGGCCUGAGAGGGCGACCGGCCACACUGGGACUGAGACACGGCCCAG